UCCAUCGGCUAAUUUCCUUUUUUUCUUCCCCUCAUUAUCAAAUUUUCCCCAACUUGAAGAAAAGGGCGAAAACCCUACCCCUAACUGAACAAGGGCGGCGUCUAUUCUCUCUUCUCCGGCGAAAACGCCGUCGUCUCACUCGUCCCUCACCGGUCAUCUUCGCCGGCGUCGAUUUCUCCAUUUGUAUCAAAUUUCCAAACUCAGAAGAUGGGACAACAGUUCUUCUCCUUUUCUUCCUCGGCGGAAAUCUCGCCGCUCCUUGCCAGUGUUCGCAGCACCGCUGCCGGACUCCAGCGGAGGCCGUCGCUGCUUCGCGAGGCUCCUGCUGUUGCUGCUGUUCGGGUCUCCGCCGAGCUGCAGUUUUGCCCGCGGCUACCUCUGCCUCGCUGGUUGUCCGGCGGAAACACCGCCACCCUGGAGUUCUCCACCCCUCGGCGUCGUCGGUUCAUCACCGGGGCAGCUCCUCUUCAAGCUAGGUUCAGAAUCUUUGUCUUAUAUCUCUUACCGUUUGCUAAGUUUUACUUAUGAUGUUAAAGAAGUUCUCGUUGUGCCAUCUAUGAUCAGCCUCUCUGUAACACUAGAAGCUUGCUGAUGUGGUGUUGUUAAUUUUUAAGAUUCAAAACUGAGCAAGGGUGAUGGAGUAGCUUAAAGGAGUUGUUACUGAUCUGCUUUGGUUCUUAUGACGUGCUGUUCUAUGUGAAUGAAAUGGAGUUAUGAGGGUGAGAUGAUUACCUUGCCUUUGCAGGCUGACUGAGGUUCUAGCCCCUCGUUGAAACGGCAUAGUUUUUCUUAGGCAUCUUCUUACUUUCACUCUCUCUCCCUGCUCUCUGUUCUUUGUCUACAGAUUGUGAUGUGGAUUACCUUGUCUCUUGUCUCUUGUCUCUUGAUUCUUUGCAGCUACUUUAACUGCAUUUUGGUGAUGUACUAUGAAUAAGGGCUUUUGUAUUUAUGCUAUUAGUUGGUUCCUUUGCAGGUGCACAACUGAAAUGGUGGUUAACUGCAGCUUUGCAGGGCUGUUGCAGCUGUUAGGGUUGGUGCUGCAGGGUUUAUUUGUGGUGACAGGUGCUCAAGAAUGGCAGUGCUUUUGUGGCUGAGACUCACGGCCGUUGGCAGGUGGAGAGGCUCCCUUGUGUGGUCCCGUGGCAGCCUUUACCUAGGCUGGAGUGUGCAGGGGUUGUUGGAGCUGGAGUGCAGAGUUGCUGCAGUUGUGCUGUAGCUUUCCUCUCCUUUUUCUGGCUCGUGGCAGCCCCGUGGUACAGGCUGGGAGAGCAGGCUGUUGUAUUGCCCCUUUUGGGCAAGUUCUUGAUCCUUCAACUAAGGUAUGUGGGCAGAUUGCCUUCGUCCACCAACACACCGUCUCCGCCCAAACUUCUGUCGGUAGACAAGCCGACGGCCGGUGCUAAACGUGCCGAAGCUAGCUCUCUUUUCCCCCUCGCAUUGUAAUAGAGUAGUUCGACUUUAAAUUUUCUAUCUUCGUUCCAACAUGUAUGUAAAACUCAAUAAUAGUUGGUAUAGUUGGUGUGUAUUUUAUUUCAAGCAUUUGUAAUUUAUUAGCUUGAAAUUCUAUGUAUUGUAUUUCUUUUACUCAAGAAAUAAACAAAUACUCUUUCAUUCUCUUUCA